UACGGAGGAUGCGAGCGUUAUCCGGAUUUAUUGGGUUUAAAGGGUGCGUAGGCGGGCUGUUAAGUCAGCGGUAAAAUUUGGAGGCUCAACCUCCACGAGCCGUUGAAACUGGCGGUCUUGAGUGGGCGAGAAGUAUGCGGAAUGCGUGGUGUAGCGGUGAAAUGCAUAGAUAUCACGCAGAACCCCGAUUGCGAAGGCAGCAUACCGGCGCCCGACUGACGCUGAGGCACGAAAGUGCGGGUAUCGAACAGG
rnacentral:rRNA from 1 species